rnacentral:lncRNA from 1 species
AUGGGGCAGAAAUGGGGCAGGAGUGGGGCAGGAAAUGGGGCAGGAAAUGGGGCAGGAGUGGGGCAGGAGUGGGGCAGGAAAUGGGGCAGGAAAUGGGGCAGGAAAUGGGGCAGGAGUGGGGCAGGAAAUGGGGCAGGAGUGGGGCAGGAAAUGGGGCAGAAAUGGGGCAGGGAUGGGGCAGGGAUGGGGCAGAAAUGGGGCAGGAAUGGGGCAGGGAUGGGGCAGGAAAUGGGGCAGGAAUGGGGCAGGAAAUGGGGCAGGAAAUGGGGCAGGAAAUGGGGCAGGAAUGGGGCAGGAAAUGGGGCAGGAAUGGGGCAGGAAAUGGGGCAGGAAAUGGGGCAGGAAUGGGGCAGGAAAUGGGGCAGAAAUGGGGCAGGAAUGGGGCAGGAAAUGGAGCAGAAAUGGGGCAGGAAAUGGGGCAGGAGUGGGGCAGGAAAUGGGGCAGGAGUGGGGCAGGAAAUGGGGCAGGAAGGGAUCCAUGGGUCCAGUUCGGAUCUGUGGGUCCGGUUUGGAUCUGUAGGUCCGGCUUGGAUCUGUGGGUCUGGUUUGGAUCUGUCGGGCCGCUUCGGUUCUAUGGGGCUGGUUCUGGUCUAUGGGGCCAGUUCAGUUCUAUGGGUCCGGUUUGGAUCCAUGGGGCCGGUUUGGAUCUGUGGGGCCGGUUUGGUUCUAUGGGUCAGGUUCAGAUCCGUGAGUCCAGUUCGGAUCUAUGGGGCCGGUUCGGAUCUGUGGGUCAGGUUCAGAUCCAUGGGUCAGGUUUGGAUCUAUGGGUCAGGGAUCUGUGGGUCAGGUUCAGAUCUAUGGAUCCGGUCCGGAUCUAUGGGUAAUGGAUCUAUGGGUCCGGUUCUGAUCUGUGGGGCCGGUUCUGAUCUGUGGGGCCGGUUCGGAUCUAUGGGUAAUGGAUCUAUGGGUCCGGUUCUGUGGGUCCGGUCUAGUUCUAUGGGGCCGGUUCAGAUCUAUGGGGCCGGUUCAGAUCUAUGGGUUCGGUUCGGUUCUGUGGGUCCGGUCCGUUCCGGUCCGGUCCGGUCCGGUCCGGUUCUGUGGGUCCGGUCCGGUUCUGUGGGUCCGGUCCGGUUCUGUGGGUCCGGUCCGUUCCGGUCCGGUCCGGUCCGGUUCUGUGGUUCCGUUCCGGUCCGGUCCGGUCCGGGUGCCGCGGGGGCGGCCCCGCUCGCGGCAGCCGCGCGGUUUCCAUGGCAACGGGCGGGGGAGGGGGAGGGGGCGGGGCCGCCCCGAACCCCCCCCGAACCGCCCAGAACCGGGCCCAGAACCGGGCCCAGAACCGGCCCCAUGGAUCAGAACCGCCCCGAACCAGCCCCAGAACCGGGCCCAGAACCGGCCCCAGAACCGGCCCCAGAACCCGCCCCAGAACCGCCCCGAACCGGCCCCUCGGAUCAGAACCACCCCGACUAG